AUUGAACGCUGGCGGCGUGCCUAACACAUGCAAGUCGAGCGGCAGCGCGGGAGCAAUCCUGGCGGCGAGCGGCGGACGGGUGAGUAAUGCUUGGGAAUCUGCCUGUUAGUGGGGGACAACCCGGGGAAACUCGGGCUAAUACCGCAUACGCACUACGGUGGAAGCCGGGACCGCAAGGCCUGGCGCUAACAGAUGAGCCCAAGUCGGAUUAGCUAGUUGGUAGGAACGGCCUACCAAGGCGACGAUCCGUAACUGGUCUGAGAGGACGACCAGUCACACCGGAACUGAGACACGGUCCGGACUCCUAUGGGAGGCAGC
rnacentral:rRNA from 1 species